rnacentral:rRNA from 1 species
GAUGAACGCUGGCGGCGUGCUUAACACAUGCAAGUCGAACGAUGAAGCCCAGCUUGCCGGGUGGAUUAGUGGCGAACGGGUGAGUAACACGUGAGUAACCUGCCCUUAACUCUGGGAUAAGCCUGGGAAACUGGGUCUAAUACCGGAUAGGAGCGUCCACCGCAUGGUGGGUGUUGGAACGAUUUAUCGGUUUUGGAUGGACUCGCGGCCUAUCAGCUUGUUGGUGAGGUAAUGGCUCACCAAGGCGACGACGGGUAGCCGGCCUGAGAGGGUGACCGGCCACACUGGGACUGAGACACGGCCCAGACUCCUACGGGAGGCAGCAGUGGGGAAUAUUGCACAAUGGGCGCAAGCCUGAUGCAGCGACGCCGCGUGAGGGAUGACGGCCUUCGGGUUGUAAACCUCUUUCAGUAGGGAAGAAGCGAAAGUGACGGUACCUGCAGAAGAAGCACCGGCUAACUACGUG